AAUAGAGAAAGGUAUUGCAAUAUCCAUUAUGAAUACAAGAGAAAAUUGACACAAGAGUGUCAGGGUGAGGAUGUGUUGGAUUUAUUAUUUUUUAGUACUCAUUCAUUCGCGUAUUAUUCGAUUGAUUCUCGCGUCGUCAAUUUAUGCUUGCAAAGAAGAAUGCUUCUGCCUGUCAUGAUAGUUUGAUUUUGCUUGCAAAGAAGAACGCUUAUGCUUGCAAUCAUUAGUUGGCUUUGCCUGCAAUGAAGAACGCUUAUGCUUUCAAUAAAGAUAUAUCCUUUAUUAUUUACUCACAUCUAUAAUCAUUAUAUAUUCUUCAUUAUAUGCUCACUUUUGCUUGCUGUACUGUGUGAAAGGUUAGGGUCGCAACCACCUUUCCGAGGACGUGGUUGGGAAGAGAUAAUUGUUAAGACUAAACAGUGAGCAAGGGUGAACAGUGAAUGGAGACAUCAACACCAGCUGCAACGUGAUGUUUAUGUGACAUUUGCACACAUGUACGUAAUUUGCACUCACAUACACACACAUAAUCAAACAAGUUCAGUGUGUGUUCAACAGCCCCCACCCUUUAGGUUGGACACACCUAUGUAGUAGCUUUCCCAAUAAAUGAGGAGGUGAAGGGGGAGAUCGUUAGGGGUGACGUGCGGAGAACUGAAACCGAACGCUUCUCCUCGUUCCCUCAUGGUACCAGAA